rnacentral:tRNA from 1 species
GCCGCUAUAGCUCAGCUGGUAGAGCAACGCUUUCGUAAAGCGUGGGUCGGGGGUUCGAAUCCCUUUGGCGGCACCA